rnacentral:rRNA from 1 species
AAAAAACAUGAAGUGAUGGGGUGCACUGCACACAUACACACAGUCCAUUGCAAGCAUACACAAAAGGAACUGGACGCACAUGAUGCUCGGGGGUUGUUAUCUAAACAAAUCUGAUCCAAGUACUAACUACUGUAACUCAAAUGCAUUGCAACAUUCAAGUUCAGACGUACACACUGAACAUUUGACCAGUUAAUUCUGAAGAAAACACACACUGACUAUCAGAGACAAAGCAAACAGCUAUUGUGAACAUUAAGUCAUGGUCGCGUGCGCUGAAACAAUUACAAUAAAAAUAAAAAUAGAACACAAUGGUGAUUUACAUCUGUGUGCUAUACAUAUACAUGCAAGAAAGAAAUUAUAAAAGGAAUAAGGGGAUGAAAUUACCCAACAUAGACAAUGACAAUGCACGUGUUACCACAGUAAUUACAGGUCUAAGGAAAGGGAGUUAUAGUUAACAUCAUCAGGUACUGUAACAAAACAUAGGCGCAAAUUACAAAGGCUGACAGAGCGACAGAUGAACCGUGAAGAUAAACUUGGGAGAUGAUCCACAACUGCCGCAGAGAUACUAUUGAAACUACAAUGAACCAUGAAGCAAAAAUUCAGAACAUUAGAAUCAAAACUCUGUUGUCCUGACAGAACAACUAGGCAAUAGAACCCAUUGGAGAUACGGGGGAGGAAAUUGUAUCACCGGGCAUACAUAGACGGAAAAUUGUCAGAAAUAACAGCAUUGCAGGGCAGAAGAUUACGCCUAACUACACACCAAAAAUACAACUGCUGGACAAAUUGUAAGAGAUCUCUCCUCCGUCUCUAGAUGAACAGAGCAAAAAAACUAUCCAAGCACACAAGAACAGAGCCAAGUAAAAAACCACCAUUGCACACCAUUCAAGUGAAACACAACAAGAAAAACAGAUGCGCUGGAGACGAGCUGCACGCCAGCGACUAUCAACAACACAAUGCCUGACCAAGGGUCCGGGGCGCACUGCACUGCACGCCAGCAGGGCGAGCACUGCACCACUCAAACGGCUCACCGGGAACUGCAAAAUCGAAAAUCAGAAAAAAGAGAGAGCAAAAAAAGCUUUUAAAUUUGGACACGAAGCACCCCGCAAGUUGUCCUUGGCCGCACCACAAAGACAGCAAGAGCGCACAGACUUGAUGGGGGAACCGCAUACACAAAAACAUGAAGCUGCUCACACAUGCAGAGCGUGCUCGCACUGACCUGCACACACACACCGGCGACCUACUACAGCAGCGAGUCAUCCUAAUUGCAUGAAGGCGGCAACCGAGCUGCACAGGGGCACAAUAACACCAUGAGACAUUUUGCGAGCUACUUACCACACACCAUAGACUGCACACAUGCACGGGCCGCACUGCACGGACGCGCUGGUGGACUGCAAGGAGGGGAGCUCACCCGAAGCAGCGCACACUACCUGCAAGCAAAAACUACAACUUUUUGCAAAGUGUACCACAUCACUCGCGUGGCCGAGCUGCACGGCGAUGGCCGCUGGACUGCAGAGGAGGCCAUGGUACUGAACGUUCUCACUGUCCGCACUGCAGGCACCCUCCAUCGUAUUGCACAUGCUCCCCGGCCGCACUGCAGGCACCCGCUGCACAUGCUCAUCGGAUGGCAGAGUGGUGGCACGGCUGCUGCCCAGAGGGGAGACCAAAGGGGUGGGGACGGCUGGAUUUUGGCGCAUGGGGACAAAUUGCAGGGGUCGCGCCCGACGGACUGCACAAGAGGUGAGGGGCGGCAGCCGGACCCCUCUGUGCACCUCCUUGCCCGCAAGCCACCUGAGCAGGAGCUCCCAACCGCCGGAACACCGGCGACAGAUAGAUCUGGCAACAGGUUGGGCGGGGCAAUGCCUUAGACGGAUCCUCGCGCCGGUCAAGGGGAGGUCUGUUGCUGGGGGUCGAGUGGGGAACGGAGGGCGCACCAACACGGCGAGGAACGGCACAAAUCUCGUGUUGCCGGGAAGUGGAAGCAGGGGGGUCGCUAGGGGAGAGCGGGCAGCCGCCAGCAAUAGAUCCAGGGGAGAC